AGUGAACGCUGGCGGUAGGCCUAACACAUGCAAGUCGAACGGCAGCACAGUAAGAGCUUGCUCUUACGGGUGGCGAGUGGCGGACGGGUGAGGAAUACAUCGGAUUCUACUUUUUCGUGGGGGAUAAUGUAGGGAAAUUUAUGCUAAUACCGCAUACGACCUACGUGUGAAAGCAGGGGAUCUUCUGACCUUGUGGUAUUGAAUGAGCCAAUGUCGGAUUAGCUAGUUGGCGGGUUAAAGGCGCAACAAGGCGACGAUCCGUAGCUGCUAUGAGAGAAUGAUCAGACACACUGGAACUGAGAAACAGUCCAGACACCUACAAGAAGCAACAGUCGAGAAUACUAAACAAUGCAGCAGAGCCUAAUACAGCCAUACCGCGUAAGUGAAGAAGGAGUUAGGGUUGUAAAGCCAUUUAGUUGGGAAAGAAAAGAAGCAGGUUAAUACCCCACUGUAAUGACAGUACCCAAAGAAUAAGCACCGGCUAACUUCGUG
rnacentral:rRNA from 1 species